rnacentral:misc_RNA from 1 species
CAAAACAAUAUUUACAAACCCAUCUCUAGAAUCUCAAUCAACUACUCACAAAUCAUUGUUUAAAGACAAACCCAAAUGAAGAAAUGAAGAAAUAAUGGAAAUGUAAGCUAAAAGGGGUAGAAAAACCCAGCAAAUUUGCAGCAGGAUCUCUGCAGAAAAGUGCAGAAACUUGAUCCUUGCUGCUGCUGGAAGAAGAUGCAGAAAAUGCAGAAAAUGCUCCUCUUUCUCUCUUUCUAACUUUUUCCGAAAAUGACUCCCUUGCUCUCUAUAUGGAAAGAAAGUGAUAAAAUGGGUCUUUAUAUAGGCUAA